rnacentral:rRNA from 1 species
UACAGAGGUGGCAAGCGUUGUUCGGAAUUACUGGGCGUAAAGGGCGCGUAGGCGGUUCUGUAAGUCCCGCGUGAAAUCCCCCGGCUCAACUGGGGAACUGCGCGGGAAACUGUGGGGCUUGAGUUCGGGAGAGGGAAGCGGAAUUCCGGGUGUAGCGGUGAAAUGCGUAGAUAUCCGGAGGAACACCGGUGGCGAAGGCGGCUUCCUGGACCGACACUGACGCUGAGGCGCGAAAGCUAGGGGAGCAAACGGG